rnacentral:rRNA from 1 species
UACGUAGGGGGCAAGCGUUGUCCGGAAUCAUUGGGCGUAAAGAGCGUGUAGGCGGCCAGAUAAGUCCGCUGUGAAAGCCCGGGGCUCACCCCCGGAAGGGCAUUGGAAACUGACGGACUCGAGUCCCGAAGAGGAGGGUGGAAUUCCUGGUGUAGCGGUGAAAUGCGUAGAUAUCAGGAGGAACACCGGUGGCGAAGGCGGCCCUCUGGACGGUGACUGACGCUAAGACGCGAAAGCGUGGGGAGCAAACAGG